rnacentral:rRNA from 1 species
CGGAGGCCAUUGCUAUCGGAGUCCGAUUUAGCCAUGCUAGUAGCACGGGUUUAGACCCACAGCGGAAAGCUCAGUAACACGUGGCCAAGCUACCCUGUGGACGGGAAUACUCUCGGGAAACUGAGGCUAAUCCCCGAUAACGCUUUGCUCCUGGAAGGGGCAAAGCCGGAAACGCUCCGGCGCCACAGGAUGCGGCUGCGGUCGAUUAGGUAGACGGUGGGGUAACGGCCCACCGUGCCCAUAAUCGGUACGGGUUGUGAGAGCUCGAACCCGGAGACGGAAUCUGAGACAAGAUUCCCGGCCCUUACGGGGCGCAGCAGGCGCGAACCUUUACACUGUACGAAAGUGCGAUAAGGGGACUCCGAGUGUGAAGGCAUAGAGCCUUCACUUUUGUACACCGUAAGGUGGUGCACGAAUAAGGACUGGGCAAGACCGGUGCCAGCCGCCGCGGUAAUACCGGCAGUCCGAGUGAUGGCCGAUCUUAUUGGGCCUAAAGCGUCCGUAGCUGGCUGAACAAGUCCGUUGGGAAAUCUGUCCGCUUAACGGGCAGGCGUCCAGCGGAAACUGUUCAGCUUGGGACCGGAAGACCUGAGGGGUACGUCUGGGGUAGGAGUGAAAUCCUGUAAUCCUGGACGGACCCCCGGUGGCGAAAGCGCCUCAGGAGAACGGAUCCGACAGUGAGGGACGAAAGCUAGGGUCUCGAACCGGAUUAGAUACCCGGGUAGUCCUAGCUGUAAACGAUGUCCGCUAGGUGUGGCGCAGGCUACGAGCCUGCGCUGUGCCGUAGGGAAGCCGAGAAGCGGACCCCCUGGGAAGUACGUCUGCAAGGAUGAAACUUAAAGGAAUUGGCGGGGGAGCACUACAACCGGAGGAGCCUGCGGUUUAAUUGGACUCAACGCCGGACAUCUCCACCAGCCCCGACAGUAGUAAUGACGGUCCAGGUUGAUGACCUUACCCGAGGCUACUGAGAGGAGGUGCAUGGCCGCCGUCAGCUCGUACCGUGAGGCGUCCUGUUAAGUCAGGCAACGAGCGAGACCCGCACUCCUAAUUGCCAGCAGUACCCUUUGGGUAGCUGGGUACAUUAGGUGGACUGCCGCUGCCAAAGCGGAGGAAGGAACGGGCAACGGUAGGUCAGUAUGCCCCGAAUGGGCUGGGCAACACGCGGGCUACAAUGGUCGAGACAAUGGGAAGCCACUCCGAGAGGAGGCGCUAAUCUCCUAAACUCGAUCGUAGUUCGGAUUGAGGGCUGAAACUCGCCCUCAUGAAGCUGGAUUCGGUAGUAAUCGCGUGUCAGCAGCGCGCGGUGAAUACGUCCCUGCUCCUUGCACACACCGCCCGUCAAAUC